GGUGUCUCGGUACACAUAUUGAUCAGAAGAAGCAUUCUAAGUGGAGUGAUACAGUCAGACUGACGGUGACAGCUCUGCCUACAGCCUCAGUGAAGAUAGUCACUACCCAGGAACCACUGUACUCCGGAGACACAGUCAAGCUGCAGUGUGACAUAUCAGACUACACAGACUGGACGUACCACUGGUUAAUAAAUAAAGAACGGCUUUCCAGUCACACCAGUAAAACCACCACCAUCUUUCUCUCUGACCAGGCUGGUCAGUACCAGUGUGAGGGGACAAGGACAAGACGGCCCCAGAAGUUAUAUCUCAGCUCAUCUCUCCACAUCAGCGUCACUGCUCUGCCUGAAACUACACUGACCGUAAAUCCAAACCCUGCAUACACUGGAGAGAUAGUAACUCUGACAUGUUCAGUGGGGUCUGACAGUGACUGGAGCUAUACAUGGUACAAAGACAAAACUAAGAAAGUAGUGACCUUGUCUGGCAGACACACUACAACAGGAGCCACCUUCACCAUCAGUAGAGCUGCUGAGUCUGACCAGGGUCUCUACUGGUGUCAGGGAGAGAUCCAGUCCAG